AGGGUUUGAUCCUGGCUCAGAGCGAACGCUGGCGGCGUGCUUAACACAUGCAAGUCGAACGAACCGCAAGGUUAGUGGCGAAAGGGUGAGUAAUACAUAGAUAACCUGCCCCUGGGUCGGGGAUAACGGGAAGAAAUUUCCGCUAAUACCCGAUGGGACCACACUGUCACCUGGCAGAGUGGUGAAAGUUCCGGCGCCCAGGGAGGGAUCUGUGUCCUAUCAGCUUGUUGGUGAGGUAACGGCUCACCAAGGCUACGACGGGUAGCAGGCCUGAGAGGGUGGUCUGCCACAUUGGGACUGAGACACUGCCCAGACUUCUACGGGAGGCUGCAGUGAGGAAUAUUGCGCAAUGGGCGAAAGCCUGACGCAGCGACGCCGCGUGCACGAAGAAGGCCUUCGGGUUGUAAAGUGCUGUCACGGGGUAAGAAAGGACCUUCGGGUCUUGACGUUCCCCCGAGAGGAAGCUCUGGCUAAACACGUGCCAGCAGCCGCGGUAAUACGUGUAGAGCUAGCGUUGCUCGGAUUCACUGGGCUUAAAGGGUGCGUAGGCGGCCGAGUAAGUAAGGUGUGAAAUCCUGCAGCUUACCUGCAGAAUUGCAUUUUAUACUGCUUGGCUAGAGUACUGAAGAGGAUAGCGGAAUUCUGGGUGUAGCGGUGAAAUGCUUAGAUAUCCAGGAGAACGCCGGUGACGAAGGUGGCUAUCUGGUCAGAUACUGACGCUGAGGCACGAAAGCCAGGGGAGCAAACGGGAUUAGAUACCCCGGUAGUCCUGGCCCUAAACGAUGUACACUUGGUGGUGGGAAUUUCGGUUCUCGCUGCCGGAGCGAAAGCGUUAAGUGUACCGCCUGGGGAGUACGCUCGCAAGGGUAAAACUCAAAGGAAUUGACGGGGGCUUACACAAGCGGUGGAGCAUGUUGUUUAAUUCGAUUCUACGCGAAGAACCUUACCCGGGUUUGACAUGUAUGUAGUAGUGAACCGAAAGGGAAACGAUCCCUCUCGAGGGAAGCAUGCACAGGUGCUGCAUGGCUGUCGUCAGCUCGUGUCGUGAGAUGUCGGGUUAAGUCCCUUAACGAGCGCAACCCCCGCUGUUAGUUGCCAUCGGGUAAUGCCGGGAACUCUAACAGGACUGCUGGCGUUAAGUCGGAAGGAAGGUGGGGACGACGUCAAGUCAUCAUGGCCCUUACGCCCGGGGCUACAAACGUGCUACAAUGGCGGUUACAGAGUGAUGCAAAGUCGCGAGGCCAAGCAAAUCACACAAAGAUCGCCCCAGUUCGGAUUGGAGUCUGCAACCCGACUCCAUGAAGUUGGAAUCGCUAGUAAUCGCGGAUCAGCUAUGCCGCGGUGAAUACGUUCCUAAGCCUUGUACACACCGCCCGUCAAGCCACGAAAGUCGGGAGUACCUGAAGUCGCUAGCCUAACCGCAAGGAGGGCGGCGCCCACGGUAAGACUGGCAAUUGGGACUAAGUCGUAACAAGGUA
rnacentral:rRNA from 1 species